rnacentral:rRNA from 1 species
AUGAACGCUAGCUACAGGCUUAACACAUGCAAGUCGAGGGGCAGCAUGGUCUUAGCUUGCUAAGACUGAUGGCGACCGGCGCACGGGUGAGUAACACGUAUCCAACCUGCCGUCUACUCUUGGACAGCCUUCUGAAAGGAAGAUUAAUACAAGAUGGCAUCAUGAGUCCGCAUGUUCACAUGAUUAAAGGUAUUCCGGUAGACGAUGGGGAUGCGUUCCAUUAGAUAGUAGGCGGGGUAACGGCCCACCUAGUCUUCGAUGGAUAGGGGUUCUGAGAGGAAGGUCCCCCACAUUGGAACUGAGACACGGUCCAAACUCCUACGGGAGGCAGCAGUGAGGAAUAUUGGUCAAUGGGCGAGAGCCUGAACCAGCCAAGUAGCGUGAAGGAUGACUGCCCUAUGGGUUGUAAACUUCUUUUAUAAAGGAAUAAAGUCGGGUAUGCAUACCCGUUUGCAUGUACUUUAUGAAUAAGGAUCGGCUAACUCCGUGCCAGCAGCCGCGGUAAUACGGAGGAUCCGAGCGUUAUCCGGAUUUAUUGGGUUUAAAGGGAGCGUAGAUGGAUGUUUAAGUCAGUUGUGAAAGUUUGCGGCUCAACCGUAAAAUUGCAGUUGAUACUGGAUAUCUUGAGUGCAGUUGAGGCAGGCGGAAUUCGUGGUGUAGCGGUGAAAUGCUUAGAUAUCACGAAGAACUCCGAUUGCGAAGGCAGCCUGCUAAGCUGCAACUGACAUUGAGGCUCGAAAGUGUGGGUAUCAAACAGGAUUAGAUACCCUGGUAGUCCACACGGUAAACGAUGAAUACUCGCUGUUUGCGAUAUACGGCAAGCGGCCAAGCGAAAGCGUUAAGUAUUCCACCUGGGGAGUACGCCGGCAACGGUGAAACUCAAAGGAAUUGACGGGGGCCCGCACAAGCGGUGGAGUAUGUGGUUUAAUUCGACGCAACGCGAAGAACCUUACCAGGUCUUGACAUCCUACUAACGAGAUAGAGAUAUGUUAGGUGCCCUUCGGGGAAAGUAGAGACAGGUGGUGCAUGGUUGUCGUCAGCUCGUGUCGUGAGAUGUUGGGUUAAGUCCCGCAACGAGCGCAACCCUUAUUGCCAGUUACUACGUUAAGAGGACUCUGGCGAGACUGCCGUUGACAAAACGGAGGAAGGUGGGGACGACGUCAAAUCAUCAUGCCCCUUAUGAGCAGGGCUACACACGUGCUACAAUGGCGUAAACAAAGGGAGGCAGAACCGCGAGGUCGAGCAAAUCCCAAAAAUAACGUCUCAGUUCGGAUUGUAGUCUGCAACUCGACUACAUGAAGCUGGAAUCGCUAGUAAUCGCAGAUCAGAAUGCUGCGGUGAAUACGUUCCCGGGCCUUGUACACACCGCCCGUCACACCAUGGGAGCCGGUAAUACCCGAAGUCAGUAGUCUAACCGCAAGGAGGACGCUGCCGAAGGUAGGAUUGGCGACUGGGGUG